UGCAGUGGGAAGCUGGGAGCCAUGACUUCCAGAGCCCUGAUCCCUAGGAGACAACUUCCUGGGGGAGGCCUUCAGUUUCUCGUCUCCCCAUAGAAUAGAAGCUCCCAAGGGCAGGGAUAGUUUUCUUUUCUUUUCUUUUUUUAAAUAUCUCGACUUUUUAUUACGUCUAGCCCUAACACAACGUCUAACGUCUAGCUGUAGAUACUUAAUAACUUCGUGGGAUCAGAGAAUGAGCCUCAGAGGAGACCUUAAAGAGGGAUCAGAAUUGGGAGUCAGAGGACAUGUUAGGCAUCAGAAAUUGAGAAUCAAAAGAGACCUUAGACAGGGAUCAGAGAUUUGAGAAUCAGAGGAGACCUAGAGAGGGAGCAGAGAUUGAGAAAAAAGACCUUAGGGGUCAAAGAUUGAGAGAGGAGACCUUAAAGAAAGGGAUCAGAAAUUGAGAAUUAGGAUGUUAAGGAUCAGAAAUUGAGAAUUAAAGGAGACCUUAGACAGGGAUCAGAGAUUGAAAAUCAGAAGAGACUUAGAGAGGAAUCAGAGAUUGAGAGUCAGAAGAGACCUUAAGAGAGGGAUCAAAGGCUGAGAAUCAGAGGGCAUUUUAGGGAGCAGAAAUUGAGAAUUAGAGGAGACCUUAGAGAGGAAUCAUAUUGAGAGUCAGAGGACAUGUUAAGGAUCAGAAAAUGAGAAGCAGAGACCUAAAGAGGGAUCAGAGAUUGAGAAUCAGGAGACCUUAGAAGGGAUCAAGAGAUUGAGAGAGGAGACCCUAAAGAGGGAUCAGAGAUUGAGAAUUGGAGGAGCCCUAGAGAGGGAUCAGAGAUUGAGAAUCAGAGGACAUUUUAGGGAUCAGAGAUUGAGAGAGACCUUAGAGAGGGAUCAGAGAUUGAGAGAACCACUUUACAGAGGGAUCAGAUUGAGAAAAAGACCUUAACAGAGGAACCUUUUCAUUUUUAUAGAUAAGGAACUAAACGUUAGAGAAAGGUAACAUAACCUUUCCAAGGUCACAUGGCACUAAACUACAGAGCUGCCUUUCAAACUGAUGAUUGGAGUGGACAGAUGAGUGGAGGCCCUACAAGAUCUCACACUACAGACAGAAAAGGAUCGAACAGACCAACAGAACAUGCCAAGACAUUUCAGCAAAUGCCGCUCUUCUGUAUGAUGAGUUAACGGGAGAAGAUCGGUGGCUAGGACAUUGGGCUCACCUGUAAAAUUAGCUGAAGGAGGAAAUGGCAAAUCACUCCAGUAUCUUUGCCAACAAAAUUCUGAAUAGGGUCAUGAAGAGUCAGACACAAUUGAAAACAACAAAAACAGGAGAAAAGCGGUCAGAAGAACAGCCAAUUCUCUCCUGUGGACUUCUGCUGGAUCCUUCUGGUUGUAUAUUUAGCAAACAUUUAGGUUCUAAGAGAGUGGUAGCUCUUCCUGAUAAGGAAGAGGCUUGAUAACCACCACCUCCCAGCAGACGGUAGUGGAGGGAGCAGAUGGCCUGAAGGGGCCAAUCGCCAGCAGGUGGUAGCAGAGAGUAAUGGUUCAGUUGAGAGGCAGCUAAAGAACCACAAGAGGCGACUUGAUGAUACCCAGCAGAAGAAAACAUGGCAGCAUCUCUACAAUGCAUCAGUGACUUUGAAGCUGUAGUUGUAGAUGGUUGUGGCCACCUGGACGCUCCAGCGUGUUCUCUGGGUACCGAGAAGCGGAGCCGUGACCUUGGCGACAAAGGUCCUUGUAGACAAAGCUAUGUUUUUUGUUUUUUUCCAUUAGCAAUGUAUAGCUGUAAGACUUAGAUUAUAAGGAAAGCUGAGUUCUGCAGAAUUGAUGCUUUUGAAUUGUGGUGCUGGAGAAGACUUAUUAGAAUCCCUUCGACAGAAGAGUAUCAAAUCUGAAGAAGGUAAUUCGGGCUAUUCAUUUGAAAGCUAAAACUAAUUGAAACUCAUUACUUUGGCCACAUAAUUAAGAGGUGGGACUCAAUUGGAAAAAAAAUAAAACCCCGAUUUGGGGAAAGUUUGAAGGCAAAAGGAGAAGACGAUGCCCAAAGAUGAGAUGGAGAGAGAGUGUCAUGGAAGCAACAAACAUGACCUUGGACAGACUUGAGGAGCUAGUGGAGGAUAGAAGAGCACCGGGUGCUAUGAUCCAGGAGUCGAGAAGACUCAGACGCACCUGAAUGACUGAAUAGCAACAAUCUGUGUCCCCUGACCACAUGUGUUCUCAUUGUAAGUGUCCUCUCUACGAAGGGGUCCUGAGGACCACAUGCAUAGAUUUGAUGCAUGGGUGUGCUCCCCGCCUUGGUGACAUAUGCCUUUUUCUAGGGAGUUUCUAGUAUGACAUAUGCCCUUCUAGGACACAUGGUAUUUUGGCACUAAAUUUGUUAUGUUACUUCUGUAAAAUGGCUCUUGCUUUGAACUAAAAUGUCCUUUUCAGUUGACUUAGUAAAAUUCCUCAUGAGACUUUGGGAGGUGUCAUUUUGAAGGGUGCUGACCCACAGAGGACCUCAAAACUAGGGUGCCUUCAAAGAAUUCAUAGAUAAAGGGAAUUUCAGAGGCUAAAGGAAAACUGGAGAUUAAAAACAGGCAUUUGAAUGGACAACCCAUAGAAUUACUCCACCAUUAUAUCUUGCCCAAGUAGUAUUAGAGAGGGAUGGUGAACUUGGCAGCAAGGAAGCACAAUGUAAGAGCACUGGACCUAGGAACAGUGUAUAGAGAGCACUGGACCUGGAAUGAAUGUAAAAUUCAAAUCCGGCCUGAGAGAUUACUACUCUCUUAAGCCUCAGGUUCCUCAUCUGUAAAAUGGGGAUUAUAAUAGCAUCUAAUUCUCAAGAUUGUUGUGAGGAUAAGAUGAGAUAAUUGGAAAAUGCUUUUCAAAACUGCAAAUUUGGUAGAAAGACUAGCAACUACUACUACUAUUGAUAGCCUAGAUCUAAAGAGGGGUUCUUGGUGAACGACAGUUCAGAAAUUACCCAAUUAUUGAAAUGAUCCUCAACGGCUUUCUAUAAGACGAUGUUUUCCUGCGUCAACAAGCAUUAACGGCUUACUCUGUGCUAAGCACUAAGGAUAUAAAUGCAAGCAAAAAGAAAAUCCAGUUAUUUCAGAAAAGUCUGGAUUCAACAUGAACUGACACGAAGUGAACCAAGAGAAUAUUGUGCACGGAAACAGCAAGAUUAUGUCAUCGACUGUGAUGGACGUACCUCCUUUCAACAAUGAGAUGAUUGAAGGCAAUUCCAAUAGACUUGGGACAGAAAAAGCCAUCUGCAUCCAGAGAGAGAAGCAUGGAGACUAAAUGUGGAUCAAAGUGUAUUUUCACCUUUUUGUUGUUUGCUUGGAGGGGGGAGGGUUUGUGUGAUUUUUUUCUCUUUUGAUCUGAUUUUUCUUGCUCAGCAUAAUGAGUAUGGAAAUAGGCUUAGAAUUGCAUCUGUUUAACCUAUAUCAGAUUGAUUGCUGUCAUGGGGAGGGGAAAGGGGGAAAAUUUGGAACACAAGCUUUUGCAAAAAUGUUUACAUGUAUUUGGAAAA